AGUGAACGCUGGCGGCAGGCCUAAUACAUGCAAGUCGAACGGCAGCACAGCAGAGCUUGCUCUGUGGGUGGCGAGUGGCGGACGGGUGAGGAAUACAUGGGAAUCUGCCCAGUCGUGGGGGAUAACGUAGGGAAACUUACGCUAAUACCGCAUGCGCCCUUCGGGGGAAAGCCGGGGACCUUCGGGCCUGGCGCGAUUGGAUGAGCCCAUGUCGGAUUAGCUAGUUGGCGGGGUAAAGGCCCACCAAGGCGACGAUCCGUAGCUGGUCUGAGAGGAUGAUCAGCCACACUGGAACUGAGACACGGUCCAGACUCCUACGGGAGUCAGCAGUAGGGAAUAUUGGACAAUGGGCGCAAGCCUGGUCCAGCCAUGCCGCGUGAGUGAAGAAGGCCUUCGGGUUGUAAAGCUCUUUUGUCCGGAAAGAAAAGCAUCCAGUUAAUACCUGGGUGUCCUGACGGUACCGGAAGAAUAAGCACCGGCUAACUUCGUGCCAGCCGCCGCUGUAAUAC
rnacentral:rRNA from 1 species